AUGAAUGCAUAUCAUAAGCGUAUGUCAAAGUCUGAAAUGGAAAAGGCAGAUAUAUUCGACACAGUGGAUGAGAUUGUGGUGCGUUUUGGACCAGAAGAAGCUCUGAAGAUCACGGUGGACAUCCUGAGGAAGAUGAAGGAGAAUGAUCUGGCUGAUCAGCUGAAGAACAAACACAAGCAAGCUCAGACUGAGAGCGAUAUGAAGGCAUAUGUCCCUGUUGGAGCUGAUUCACAACAGAUCUGUGGUAAAUAACAAUUACUAUCUAUAUAUGGAAAUGAUAAAAUAUAACUGCAAGCAGCAAUUCCAAGGCCAAUCACAUCAACAGCAGAUCUCUGAUCUUAUACAAAUAAAUAUUUGUUAACCUGUUAUGUUAACCGUUUUUAUAGGCACUUGAGGUACUGUGUCUGUCUUCUUUCUCACACUUCAAACGUUGCCCGUCCAAAUAUAUUACAGGUAGCACUGUCACCAAAUUGAUUUUGUCUCAUCAUGCCAUGAUUACAAAUAUAAAUGAAAAGGUUAAUUUAAGUAGGACAAAACAUGCUGAAAAUACAGCCUCACAUCCUGUUUGGUGUGCUAGAUGUCAGUGGUUUAGCAUGAGCAUAGCAUGGGCAUAGAAUAUGCGGGAGAUGUGUUCCCCUGACUUUUAAUAAAACCUAAACUCUUCCCCUGCACUUUUUUUUCUGGCAAGUGUGUUCACGUAGAUGUUUUCCAGUGUGAAUAAAUCUAGAUUUAAAUUAAAAGAGACCAGAUAGUCACAUCAUUUUAGAUAUGAUUUAUUAAUAUCCAAAUCGAUGUGAACAUGUCUGUUUCAUUCAUACUCGAAGCCGGAGACGCUCUCGUGCUGAAAGUCCAAAACGGACUCAUAGAAGUAGUAAUAACUUUUGACGAGCAGGAAAUCCCUAAUAUGGACAAAGGCAUUCAGCCAUCACUGUAGCUAUGCUGAAUAACAAGCACAAACUAUAAUUAAUGAAACGUGAAGACGAUAAAUAAUUUAGCCUAUAAGCCUAUAUUGCGCAUGUAUUUGGGAGCACUGGGAGAAAUUCCGGUGGUCUGGCAACUGAUCUGAAUAUAUGUGGGAUUAUUAGCAGAAAAUAAUACCCUGUGUCAUGUACUCGCAGGGGCAGUAUGCUUGGAAAGAAUAUUUCACCUCUUGCAUUUAUAAUGCAUUUAUUAUUUGUAGAGCACCAGCCAACCAACAACAGCAGUAAGUUUUGCUUUUGGUACUUUUAAAGGGGUCAUAUGAUGCUGCUAAAAAGAACAUUAUUUUGUGUAUUUGGUGUAAUGAAAUGUGUUUAUGCGGCUUAAGGUUCAAAAAACACAUUAUUUUCCACAUACUGGACAUUAUUGUUUCUCCUCUAUGCCCCGCCUUCUGAAACAUGUUGAUUUUUACAAAGCUCAUCAUUCUGAAAAGUGAGGUGUGCUGUAACUGGCCAGCUAUCCAGUGCGUUGUGAUUGGCUGAACACCUCAAGCGUGUGACGGAAAUGUUACGCACCUUAACAUAUUGUGAUGCCCUGUCCGCCCAGAGCGACGAGAUAUAAACAUUAAAACCCAUUAUUAAAUUGAUAUAAACAUGAUUUCUAGUCGUGUCCUCUUUUGGAAGGCCAAACAAAGUAGUUUCGCUUUCUCAACGAAACAGCGUCACACACCGCGGCCUUGAGUGGCUGGUCAAGCUGGUGUCUAUGGCUGCGUUUACACUUGGCAUUAACAUGCGAUCACCUUGAUCUGAUAAAGCAGAUCGGAUCAUCAGUCAAUCAGAACACAGCACGUUUACACUUGACAACACCAACUGACUUUUCUAUCUGUAUAACCGAUCGGAUCGGUCUUUCCCGUACAAUAUUUAAAUAAGUCUGCAGAGAAAGGCCCGGUGCAUAGUCAACCUGAAGUGGUGGGUUUUCUUUUGAAAAGCAUUUUCAGUCGCGGGACAAAUUACAAAUCAAAGGGUAGGAGUCUCCACACGGGGGUUCUCCAUCUUUUUUUCCUACAGUUCACGAGAGAGGGUGUGACGUUU
ensembl:lncRNA